rnacentral:rRNA from 1 species
CACGUAGUUAGCCGGGGCUUUCUCCUUCGGUACCGUCAUGCGGGAGAGUUGUUCGCCCUCCCGCCAUUCUUCCCGAAGAACAGAGCUUUACAACCCGAAGGCCGUCCUCGCUCACGCGGCGUUGCUCCGUCAGGCUUGCGCCCAUUGCGGAAAAUUCCCUACUGCUGCCUCCCGUAGGAGUCUGGGCCGUGUCUCAGUCCCAGUGUGGCCGGUCACCCUCUCAGGUCGGCUACGCAUCGUCACCUUGGUGAGCCGUUACCUCACCAACUAGCUAAUGCGCCGCGGGCCCAUCCGCAAGUGGCAGCCGAGGCCGCCUUUCCACCCCGGGUCAUGCGAUCCGGGGUCCUAUCCGGUAUUAGCUCCGGUUUCCCGAAGUUAUCCCGGUCUUGCGGGCAGGUUGCCCACGUGUUACUCACCCGUUCGCCGCUGGGUCUUGAAGGGCAAGCCCCUCAAAACCCCGCCCGACUUGCAUGUAUUAGGCACGCCGCCAGCGUCGUCUCGAGCCACGGACGUCGAACUACUCUCGUACGACGUACGUCCGAAA